CGACAGGAGGCAGCACAGUUCUUUAUAGUGACUACGUCAGUAUCUCGUUAACGUAAGAUUAGUUUGUGGAAGUGUGCUUUGCUGCAACAUCAUGGCCUGGAAGACUUUGUGGAAAUACUGUAUUAUUUUGCUGCUGCAUACCAAGGCCUGAUAAGAGACUGCACAGCAGCAAACAUAACUACGAAGACAGUUCCAGCGGCUGUCAGUCCACCAAUCAACGCUGGAAAAAGCUGUCCGGUCAACUGUUUGAGAGGAACCUGUACAUUUCUUGAUGAUGGAAAUAUUGACUGCACAGAUGGGUGUAACGAUGGGUACAUGGGGAAAACGUGUAACUUCCCGUGCAUGAACAAAUGCUCAAAAUGUGAUCGAAAGAAUGCAAGCGUCUGUAUCAAGUGUGAUCACGGAUACUUUGGUAAACAAUGCCACAAAUGUCCAAAUGCAUGUGGAGGACAAGGAUGUCUUAGUGAUGGCAGAUGCAAGAAGGACUGUUUAGCCAUCCAUGUCUGUGGGGAUAAAUGUUUGCCCGGAUGUGAGAUAUGUAAUGAGACAUUAGGUAAAUGUCAGAAAUGUGCCUACAAUCUCAUGGGAGAGAACUGUAAGACCUCCUGUUCCGACAAUUGUCGCUCUGUUUGUCCAACACAGAACUGCACGUCUCCGUGUGAUAGGGACACGGGUCGAUGUUUACAUGGAUGUAAGCCUGGUUUCUGGGGAGAGCUAUGUGCAGAUCAAUGUAGCUCCAGAUGUCUAGACCAAAACUGUAAUCAAACAUCGGGACACUGUG